GCUCCCCAUAAAGCUCUCACUUCCAAGGCUGUGAGGAAGAGUUUGGGCUUUGUGCUCUGAGCUGCACACGUCUCUGAACUUGGAUGGUGCUUUUUUUCUGGUGUUGGAGGGAAGCAGAAUAGAAGUGUGGUUCCCCAAGCUUUCAAGUUAUAAAGUUCUGUAGUUUUGAGGAGGUCUGUUUGGUCUCUAUGUCACGUAAGGAGGAGGAGGAGAAGUCCUCAGAAUCAUGAAUACACGGCAAGCAGGUGAGUGAGCUCUUUGACCUCCCUGGUACUACUCAGCUGCUUUAAGUUAACCUUGAGUCUUGAGUGCUCUACCUACACCGAGAUCUACACUGAACUGCAAGUCUAUGCACCAUGACAACUGCGGAGAGAGAGACCAGAUUUAAAUAGCUUUUUCUAUAUAUCAGAAGAAAAGAAAUUGACUUUUGUUUAAUGUGUUUUUAUAUGAUUUAUAUUGAAGCAAUUCUGUCAAAAUAAAUAUUUACCAGAAGCAAAACAUGCCAGCCCACCAAAGUACUGAAAUGCAUAAUUGCAAGUAAAUGGAAGCAGACACUGAGGUGUUCCUGUGUUCUCUCAGCUGUAGUGGCUGUAGUUACAGGUUGCAGACCCUUUUUCAUCUUGGGGCAUUACUGGGGAUUCCAGUGGGCUUGGUCCUGGCUGCUGCCCACUGCCCCCAGCAGAAGGGACAGGGGUGAGGCAGUGCAAUGUGUCCAUGUGUGCUCUGGGUUUUGCCUAUGUGUGAGGAAGAUGCUGCUUUGCAGGGCUGGCUCUGUUGCUGCUGCUGGGCAGAAAGCAGGACAGGAGGAGCUCCUGACAAGUGCUGGGUGUGGGCAGGUACAGCAUUUACAGGCUGUUGAAAUUUAGUAGUGCCUUAAUUUCAGCUGCUGCUUCAGGGCUGGCCAGGAAAAUGUAUUGAAAUGAUUUGUUUGAUUCUAAAGCCAGCUUGGAUGAUGGUGAGAAUCUUUUAGGAGGGUACUUUGGUGUCCUGAGAGCUUUCAGCUUCCAGUCUAGCAGACACUAGCAUGGCAGCAGAGCUGCCAGCUCUGGUCACAGAGGAGGGAGGUGGCAUUUGAAGGCAGUGUUUGCUGCAAGCUUCCCAGAGAGCUCCUGCCUGCUGC